rnacentral:rRNA from 1 species
AGCAGCCGCGGUAAUUCCAGCUCCAAUAGCGUAUAUUAAAGUUGUUGCAGUUAAAAAGCUCGUAGUUGAAUUUCGGGAUCAAUACGUCGGUCGUGCCUUCGGUACGUACUGGCGUCAUUGGUUUCUCCCUUCUGACGAACCAUGAUGUCAUUAAUUUGGUGUUAUGGGAAGUUAGGACUGUUACUUUGAAAAAAUUAGAGUGUUUAAAGCAGGCAUUAGCUUGAAUACAUUAGCAUGGAAUAAUGAAAUAGGACGUUCGACCCUAUUUUGUUGGUUUCUAGGAUCGACGUAAUGAUUAAUAGGGAUAGUUGGGGGCAUUAGUAUUCAAUUGUCAGAGGUGAAAUUCUUGGAUUUAUUGAAGACUAACUACUGCGAAAGCAUUUGCCAAGGAUGUUUUCAUUAAUCAAGAACGAAAGUUAGGGGAUCGAAGACGAUCAGAUACCGUCGUAG